GUGAACGCUGGCGGUAGGCCUAACACAUGCAAGUCGAACGGCAGCACAGUAAGAGCUUGCUCUUACGGGUGGCGAGUGGCGGACGGGUGAGGAAUACAUCGGAAUCUACUUUUUCGUGGGGGAUAACGUGGGGAAACUUACGCUAAUACCGCAUACGACCUACGGGUGAAAGCAGGGGAUCUUCGGACCUUGCGCGAUUGCAUGAGCCGAUGUCGGAUUAGCUAGUUGGCGGGGUAAAGGCCCACCAAGGCGACGAUCCGUAGCUGGUCUGAGAGGAUGAUCAGCCACACUGGAACUGAGACACGGUCCAGACUCCUACGGGAGGCAGCAGUGGGGAAUAUUGGACAAUGGGCGCAAGCCUGAUCCAGCCAUACCGCGUGGGUGAAGAAGGCCUUCGGGUUGUAAAGCCCUUUUGUUGGGAAAGAAAAGCAGCAGGUUAAUACCCCGCUGUUCUGACGGUACCCAAAGAAUAAGCACCGGCUAACUUCGUG
rnacentral:rRNA from 1 species